rnacentral:lncRNA from 1 species
CCAGAAGCUGUGUCUCCUCGCACCAAUGAGGAGAGCCACUGAGAGCAGCCUGGCCGGAGACCUCUUGGCACAAACGUGGUGAGCUUGGGGAGAUUUGGACCUCCAGAUUCAGUACUACUUUGACGCAGCCUCUUUGCCACGGAUUAACAAAAGGAUUUGCACUGCCCAAACAUCUCCAAGCUGCUGGCGCACCUCCAGGAGCCGGGGAGAACCUCCUGGCACAAUUCCUUUCCCUAGCAAAGGGGGCGAAC